AUCAGCCCGCACUUCGCUGCUCAGCUUGCCCUCAGAAACACUGAGGGAGCUGGAGGAGGAGCGCUGAGGGGCUUAGGGCUGGAGAUCCCCAGGGAGGCAGAGAUCAGCUAAAGCAGACUGUUUCAGGAAGUUCCUCCUGCAGCGCUGUCCCGGGACUCCCGCUGGCCUAACUCUCACUCUUGCGCCUAUCUUAC
rnacentral:lncRNA from 1 species